rnacentral:rRNA from 1 species
UACGAAGGAUUCGAGCGUUAUCCGGAUUUAUUGGGUUUAAAGGGUGCGUAGGUGGACUACUAAGUCAGUGGUGAAAGCCCGCAGCUUAACUGCGGAACUGCCAUUGAUACUGUUAGUCUUGAGUACAGUUGAGGUGGGCGGAAUGUGUCAUGUAGCGGUGAAAUGCUUAGAUAUGACACAGAACACCGAUUGCGAAGGCAGCUCACUAAGCAAAUAUUGACGCUGAGGCACGAAAGCGUGGGGAUCAAACAGG